AACGUAAAGGAUACAGCCUAAACCCAAUUUAUAUGGUCUUGGUAGACCUGACUAUACCCCAAACAUUAUUGUUGUUUGGGGUGUAGUCAGGUCUACCAAGACCAUAUAAAUUGGGUUUAGGCUGUAUCCUUUACG